rnacentral:rRNA from 1 species
UACGUAGGGUCCAAGCGUUAUCCGGAUUUAUUGGGCGUAAAGCACAUGUAGGUGGUUUCAUGCGUCUCAUCUUAAAGCUCUGGGCUCAACCCAGAAUCUGGACGAGAUACGAUGAGGCUAGUGGUCAGCAGGGGCAAACGGAAUUCCCGGUGUAGGAGUGAAAUCCGUUGAUAUCGGGAGGAACACCAAUGGCGAAGGCAGUUUGCUAGGCUGAUUCAGACACUGAGAUGUGAAAGCGUGGGGAGCGAACGGG